GAUGGCGAUCAUUGGGCUAAGCGUCGUAGCUGGCCUGCAAGUCCGUCGGGAAAUCCACUCGCCUAACGAGUGGGCGUCCGGCGGAAACUACAGGGCUUGGGACCGGAAGACUUGAGGGGUACGUCUGGGGUAGGAGUGAAAUCCUGUAAUCCUGGACGGACCGCCGAUAGCGAAAGCACCUCAAGACGACGGAUCCGACAGUGAGGGACGAAAGCUAGGGUCUCGAAC
rnacentral:rRNA from 1 species